GAGACCCUGUCUCUAAAAACAAACAAAAAAGCCAGGAGUUUGAGACCAGACGUCUCUACAUAAAAGACAAAAAUUAGCUCGGUGUAGUGGCUCACAUCUGUAGUCCAAGCUACUUGGGAGGCUGUGGUGGUAGGAUCACUUGAGCCCAGGAGGCAGAAGUUGCAGUGAGCUGAGAUUGUGCCACUGCACUCCAGCCUGGACGACAGAACAAGACCCUGUUU
rnacentral:lncRNA from 10 species